rnacentral:rRNA from 1 species
GACGAACGCUGGCGGCGUGCCUAAUACAUGCAAGUAGAACGCUGAAGGAGGAGCUUGCUUCUCUGGAUGAGUUGCGAACGGGUGAGUAACGCGUAGGUAACCUGCCUGGUAGCGGGGGAUAACUAUUGGAAACGUUAGCUAAUACCGCAUAAUAGUAGAUGUUGCAUGACAUUUGCUUAAAAGGUGCAAUUGCAUCACUACCAGAUGGACCUGCGUUGUAUUAGCUAGUUGGUGAGGUAACGGCUCACCAAGGCGACGAUACAUAGCCGACCUGAGAGGGUGAUCGGCCACACUGGGACUGAGACACGGCCCAGGCUCCUACGGGAGGCAGCAGUAGGGAAUCUUCGGCAAUGGACGGAAGUCUGACCGAGCAACGCCGCGUGAGUGAAGAAGGUUUUCGGAUCGUAAAGCCCUGUUGUAAGAGAAGAACGAGUGUGAGAGUGGAAAGUUCACACUGUGACGGUAUCUUACCAGAAAGGGACGGCUAACUACGUG